rnacentral:RNase_P_RNA from 1 species
GAAGCCCGCCAGACCGCCGCUGGCGCAAGGCCCGAAAGGGCGCGCUGGAGGAACGUCCGGACUGCACAGGGCAGCGCAGGAGCUAACGGCUCUCCACCGUGAGGUGAGGAUCAGAGCAACAGAGACGAGUCGUGCCGGGGCAACCCGGUGCGGGUGAAACGGGCAAUCUCUGCGCGCAGCAACACCAAGUAGGUUGGCUUUGAGGCGGCCCGCCGAGCCAACGGGUAGGUGGCACCGAGCCGUCCGGGUGACCGGCGGCCCAGAUGGAUGGCGGUCACGGCGCCGGCCUCGCAAGGGGCAGGCGCCGCACAGAAUCCGGCGUACCGGCGGACUUCACAC